UCAGCUUUCGACGGUAGGGUAUUGGCCUACCGUGGCAGUGACGGGUAACGGGGGAUUAGGGUUCGAUUCCGGAGAGGGAGCCUGAGAAACGGCUACCACAUCUAAGGAAGGCAGCAGGCGCGCAAAUUACCCAAUCCUAACAGAAUAAGGGAGGUAGUGACAAGAAAUAACAAUACAAGGCAGUUAAAAUGCUUUGUAAUUGGAAUGAUAGAAAUUUAAACAAUUUCUAAAGUAACGAUUGGAGGGCAAGUCUGGUGCCAGCAGCCGCGGUAAUUCCAGCUCCAAUAGCGUAUAUUAGAGUUGUUGCAGUUAAAAAGCUCGUAGUUGGAUUUCUGCUAAAAUUAACCAGUCUGCUUUUUAUUAAAGUGGUACUUUGGUAUGUUUUUGGCAUCAAUGUCCUAUUAAAAUGCUUUUUACUUGAUAAAAAGCAUUAUUUAGGAUUUUUACUUUGAGAAAAAUAAAGUGUUUCAAGCAGACUAACGUUUUGAAUACUGCAGCAUGGAAUAAUAAAAUAGGACCUUGGUUCUACUUUAUUGGUUUUAAGAGCUAAAUUAAUGAUUAAUAGGGACAGUUGGGGGCAUUUGUAUUUAACUGUCAGAGGUGAAAUUC
rnacentral:rRNA from 1 species